AAGUCCUGCUGUGAUCUUAGACACAUUACUAAAUAUUUCUGGGCCUCAAACUCCUUUUUUUAUAAACAAAGGAAGAAAACCUUUUCUGCCUACCUUCUGGGUAUAGGGCCUGGAGGAAGAGACCUUCUACGCUGUGGGGGUCUGACUCUGGGCCAGAGCAAAGUCUUGGGAAUGGUGGGAGUUGAAGAGGUUCUCCGCCUGACCUUUCUGCUGCCUCCUGCUCUGUUCUAAGCCUGAGGGUACACGGAUGAACUUGGCUGAGCCCUCAGCCCAGCGCAAAGGAGUGGAUUGCUUAAGGCUUUGAGCCCAGUGCAGACUCCCAGAGUCCUCCUCCAUGAACUCUCCAACAGGAGUCCUUGAAGAAAGUGUCUGCAAGUUUUAGCCUUCCAACGAUAACUAUCAAGAGGCCCCAGCUCCAAACCUGUGACACAGAAACCCUUGCAACCUGCCUCCCUCAGUAUUUCCAAGGACUCCUGAGAUUUCUGCACUUCCCCUGCCAUCCUGACUUGGCUGGUGCCCUCCUGACUCGUUGCUGCACUCAGGACACAGGGACUCAGGGCUGUGCCUCAUGGGCCAUCACCAAAGGUCUUGGCUUUGGCAGGAUGAUGCCGCCAGCACGGUGCAGCCAAGCAC
ensembl:lncRNA